rnacentral:rRNA from 1 species
GACGAACGCUGGCGGCGUGCCUAAUACAUGCAAGUUGAGCGAUGAAGAUUGGUGCUUGCACCAAUUUGAAGAGCAGCGAACGGGUGAGUAACGCGUGGGGAAUCUGCCUUUGAGCGGGGGACAACAUUUGGAAACGAAUGCUAAUACCGCAUAACAACUUUAAACAUAAGUUUUAAGUUUGAAAGAUGCAAUUGCAUCACUCAAAGAUGAUCCCGCGUUAUAUUAGCUAGUUGGUGAGGUAAAGGCUCACCAAGGCGAUGAUACAUAGCCGACCUGAGAGGGUGGUCGGCCACAUUGGGACUGAGACACGGCCCAAACUCCUACGGGAGGCAGCAGUAGGGAAUCUUCGGCAAUGGACGAAAGUCUGACCGAGCAACGCCGCGUGAGUGAAGAAGGUUUUCGGAUCGUAAAACUCUGUUGGUAGAGAAGAACGUUGGUGAGAGUGGAAAGCUCAUCAAGUGACGGUAACUACCCAGAUAGGGACGGCUAACUACGUG